UAUAUUAUGUUGGUGCAAAAGUAAUUGUGGUUUUUGCCAUUUUAAGAGUAAUAGCAAAAGCCGCAAUUACUUUUGCACCAACUCAAUA
rnacentral:miRNA from 1 species